CGCGGUGUAGAGCAACGGCAGCUCGCUUGGCUCAUUCCCAAGAGGUUGCAGGUUCGAGUCCUGCCACCGCAA
rnacentral:tRNA from 2 species